UGGGGAAUCUUGCGCAAUGGGCGAAAGCCUGACGCAGCAACGCCGCGUGCGGGAAGAAGGCCUUCGGGUUGUAAACCGCUUUCAGCAGGAACGAAAAUGACGGUACCUGCAGAAGAAGGUGCGGCCAACUAUGUGCCAGCAGCCGCGGUGAUACAUAGGCACCAAGCGUUGUCCGGAUUUAUUGGGCGUAAAGAGCUCGUAGGCGGUUCAGUCAGUCGGGUGUGAAAACUCUGGGCUUAACCCAGAGCCUGCACCCGAUACUGCUGUGACUAGAGUUCGGUAGGGGAGCGGGGAAUUCCUGGUGUAGCGGUGAAAUGCGCAGAUAUCAGGAGGAACACCGAUGGCGAAGGCACCGCUCUGGGCCGAAACUGACGCUGAGGAGCGAAAGCAUGGGUAGCAAACAGG
rnacentral:rRNA from 1 species